GAUGAACGCUGGCGGCGUGCCUAAUACAUGCAAGUCGAGCGAACGGACGGGAAGCUUGCUUCUCUGAUGUUAGCGGCGGACGGGUGAGUAACACGUGGAUAACCUACCUAUAAGACUGGGAUAACUUCGGGAAACCGGAGCUAAUACCGGAUAAUAUUUUGAACCGCAUGGUUCAAAAGUGAAAGACGGUCUUGCUGUCACUUAUAGAUGGAUCCGCGCUGCAUUAGCUAGUUGGUAAGGUAACGGCUUACCAAGGCAACGAUGCAUAGCCGACCUGAGAGGGUGAUCGGCCACACUGGAACUGAGACACGGUCCAGACUCCUACGGGAGGCAGCAGUAGGGAAUCUUCCGCAAAGGGCGAAAGCCUGACGGAGCAACGCCGCGUGAGUGAUGAAGGUCUUCGGAUCGUAAAACUCUGUUAUUAGGGAAGAACAUAUGUGUAAGUAACUGUGCACAUCUUGACGGUACCUAAUCAGAAAGCCACGGCUAACUACGUG
rnacentral:rRNA from 1 species